CAAAGUUUUCAUGUCCUACAUAUUGGCGAGUGAGCGGCAGAGCUCAGAUUUGAAAUCGUGCCAAUUUUUUUGGCACGAGUUGUAGAGUGUAGGCGGGAGUCUUUGUGGAGCACGGUGUCCAAGUCCCUUGGAACAGGGCGCCUGAGAGGGUGAGAGCCCCGUGGGGUGUCGUGCGAAGCUUUGAGGCCCUGCUGACGAGUCGAGUUGUUUGGGAAUGCAGCUCCAAGUGGGUGGUAAAUUCCAUCUAAGGCUAAAUACUGGCGAGAGACCGAUAGCGAACAAGUACUGUGAAGGAAAGAUGAAAAGCACUUUGAAAAGAGAGUGAAACAGCACGUGAAAUUGUUGAAAGGGAAGGGUAUUGGGCCCGACAUGGGGAGUGCGCACCGCUGUCUCUUGUAGGCGGCGCUCUGGGCGCUCUCUGGGCCAGCAUCGGUUCUUGCUGCGGGAGAAUGGGUGCCGGAAAGUGGCUCUUCGGAGUGUUAUAGCCGGCGCCAGAUACCGCGUGCGGGGACCGAGGACUGCGGCUUCUGUCUCGGAUGCUGGCACAACGGCGCAAUACCGCCCGUCUUGAAAACACGGACCA
rnacentral:rRNA from 1 species